rnacentral:rRNA from 1 species
GCAGCAGUGGGGAAUCUGCACAAUGGGGGAAAGCCUGAUGCAGCACCGCCGCGGAACCAAGAAGGCGUCAGGGUGGUAAAGCGCUGAAUCCGGUAAGAACGUAAACCCGAUCAUCCCGAGGGAAUGACGGUACCGGAAGAAUAAGCACCGCUACACCG